rnacentral:tRNA from 1 species
GAGCCCGUGGUGAAAAUUGCAAACACGGCGGUUUGUCAAACCGCUUUGCGUCUAAGCAAUUGGGGGUUCAAAUCCCCUCGGGCUCA